rnacentral:rRNA from 1 species
AUGCGAUACUUGGUGUGAAUUGCAGAAUCUCGUGAACCAUUGAGUCUUUGAACGCAAGUUGUGCCCGAGGCCUUCUGGCCGAGGGCACGCCUGCUUGGGAGUCAUGGCAUUGCCGCCUUUGCUCCAUGCCGGUGCAGAGCGCGUAAAUUGGCCCCGUGUGCCCUCGGGCACAGUCGGUCGAAGAGCGGGUAGCCAUCGGCAUUCGUCGGGCACGAUGGGUGUUGGUCGCCAUGAGCGGGAACAGAACAUCGUCCCCGUCGUUUCGGGAUGAGUCCUCAAGAGACCCUGUGUGAUUGCGGUGUCGGGCACGUUGAGUGCCGUCGCGCCCGUCAACUUGUGGCCCCAAGUCAGGCGAGACCACCCGCCGAGUUUAAGCAUAUCAAUAAG